rnacentral:lncRNA from 1 species
UUGUUUUUCAUGCCAAACAUCAUCAAACAACUAAAAACACUAAGAUAUCAUGAAAUCUAGCAAAAUCCAUCAUCAAAACCUCUCUCCCUAUGUUCGGCCAGCAAGUAUUCCCUCAUGGAAACUUGUGUUUCAUCCAUAGAAAAUGAAAAAGAAAGCAUGGGAAAGGUAGAUCUUAAGCUAAAAUUGAAAAAUCUUACCUUUGAUUGCUUUGUUCUUUGAAAUUCAACAAAUUUCUCUUGAAUUUUCCUCUCUAGGGUUUGUUUCUAUUCUUUUCUAUUUGUUCUUUGCUUUGGCC